CAGCGCGCGUUCCCGUGUCCUGCCCCUCUGAAUGUCGGCGGCUCCAAAAGGGUGACGUGGAGAUGUUGCCGCUCCCGCCCAGGGCUGCUUUGCAGUCGGGGAGAGAUCCUGGCUGAAGAGAUUUAAGGACGGCGGACCGCAUCGGCGCGAAUUGAGCUCUGGGCCCAAAUAUGAAGUGGCAUCCGGUGUGAGGCUCGACUGGGCGGUGCUCGAGCGCUGCUGGGGGAAGCCCAGGCCUCCAAGCCUCAGGGGCGCGCGACCGACCGCGCUGCGCUUCCAGGCGGGGCUGCGGGCUUCGCUCCUGGCCGCUCUGGGCCUGAAAGGCUGCACCGCCACCUGCGUGAGGCCACCGGACAGGACUGUGAGGAUCACAGUCGGUGAAGCAGAGUGCUUUGUAAACCUCAGAGUGCGGUACUCGUGGUGCUGGAGCCGAGAAACCAGCAGCAGCUGCUGAGAGCCGACUGUGAAGAAAUGGGAGGAACUCCGUGUUGGGAGCGAGAGGCUUCGAAAGAACUGGCCACGCAGUCAAGUGUGUGUGGCGGGGCAAGUUUCCCGGAGAAAGCGAGCAGUUUAUGUUGGAGCUUGAAGUCAGGAUAACCAGUUUUGCCUUUUUUCUGUGAACCAGCUCCAAAACAAUGCUUUACUUCAGCCCGGUCUUUUUGCAGGAAGACCAUCUGCUUAGCUUAGUUCUACAAACUUUUUCAUUUUUAAUGUGCAAAGAACAGGCGGGGAGAGCCAAAAUAAAUCUUACAACGCAAAUUUAAAAGCUGCGUACGUCAUUUAAGUGGAAAAGUAAAUUCUGAGGAAAGAGACUCAAGAACAAAAUAGGAAAAAUGGAAAUAAGUAUUCUCUGACAGUAAACUAGACUGGAACUCAGGGAUAGGCAGGAUCAUCUCCAUUACAUUCUCCAGCACUGGCCGGGCGCAGUGGCUCCUGCCUGUAAUUCCAGCACUUUGGGAAGGCGAGGCAGGAGAAUGGCUUGAGGCCAGGA
rnacentral:lncRNA from 1 species